UCUAAUAUGGCAGAUUAGUGCAUUGGAUUUAAACCCCACUUAUAAAGUUAUACUUUUUUUAGAA
rnacentral:tRNA from 1 species